rnacentral:rRNA from 1 species
UUGCCAGACUCCUACGGGAGGCAGCAGUGGGGAAUAUUGCACAAUGGGGGAAACCCUGAUGCAGCGACGCCGCGUGAGCGAAGAAGUAUUUCGGUAUGUAAAGCUCUAUCAGCAGGGAAGAAAAAAAUGACGGUACCUGAGUAAGAAGCACCGGCUAAAUACGUGCCAGCAGCCGCGGUAAUACGUAUGGUGCAAGCGUUAUCCGGAUUUACUGGGUGUAAAGGGCGUGUAGCCGGGUUGACAAGUCAGAUGUGAAAUCCUGCGGCUUAACCGCAGAACUGCAUUUGAAACUGUUGAUCUUGAGUACUGGAGAGGCAGACGGAAUUCCUAGUGUAGCGGUGAAAUGCGUAGAUAUUAGGAGGAACACCAGUGGCGAAGGCGGUCUGCUGGACAGCAACUGACGCUGAGGCGCGAAAACGUGGGGAGCAAACAGGAUUAGAUACCCGCGUAA